rnacentral:misc_RNA from 1 species
AAGUCGUAACAAGGUUUCCGUAGGUGAACCUGCGGAAGGAUCAUUAACACGUAUCCAACGUUAAAUCAACCGUGCUCGUUGAGACCGUUCGAAGAUCUUUUUGUUUGAGACCUCUUCUGGUAACACCGGAGGAUUAACGUAACCCGAACAACUGUUAACAAUGGAUAUCUUGGUUCUC